UUUACGGCUCAGUAACACGUAGUCAACCUGCCCUAGAGACAUGAAUAACCCCGGGAAACUGGGAUUAAUACAUGAUAGAUCAUCUCAUCUGGAAGGAGAGAUGGUUUAAAGGGGUGCGCGAGCUUCUUUUGUGCAUCCGCUCUAGGAUGGGACUGCGGCCGAUCAGGCUGUUGGUGGGGUAAUGGCCCACCAAACCUGUAACCGGUACGGGCCUUGAGAGAGGGGGCCCGGAGAUGGACACUGAGAGAAGGGUCCAGGUCCUACGGGGCGCAGCAGGCGCGAAACCUUCGCAAUGCGCGAAAGCGUGACGAGGUUAAUCCGAGUGGUUCCCGCUGAGGGAAUCUUUUGUUGGCUCUAAAAUGGCCAGUGAAUAAGGGGAGGGCAAGCCCGGUGUCAGCCGCCGCGGUAAUACCAGCUCCUCGAGUGGUCGGGGUGAUUAUUGGGCCUAAAGCAUCCGUAGCCUGUUCUGUAGGUCUUCUGUUAAAUCCAACGGCUUAACCGUUGGCCUGCAGAAGAUACCGCAGGACUAGGAGGCGGGAGAGGUGGACGGUACUCCACGUGUAGGGGUAAAAUCCUUUGAUCCGUGGAAGACCACCAGUGGCGAAGGCGGUCCACCAAAAUCGCGUUCGUACGGUGAGGGAUGAAAGCUGGUGGAGCGAACCGGAUUAUAUACUCGGG
rnacentral:rRNA from 1 species